CCAAAAAUAAGAAAAAAUAACCCAAAGAAAGGCCCAUUUAGUUUCUCUUUCCAUGCAAUGCCUUUCUGAGAAAGAAUUAGGACUCAAUUCAUUCAGCAUAUGCCUCUUCUUUUGCUAGAGUCCCACCUAUCUCCAUGCACGGUAAGGUCUUGAUUAGCUCUUUUUUGGGCUCUUUGACUUUCUAGUAGCUGAGUGACAGGGUCACCAGAGUCCUUUCUUUAUAAAUCUAGACUCUUGGGGUCAGAAUGAAUCUUGGUCUAAACUCCCCAUAUUAAAAAACGAGGAAACAGAGCCACAGUGACUAAUACCCAGUUAAAGGCAGAAUUGGUCUCCGACCUUCUAGCGUGGUACCCUUUUCACCUUUUCUUCUUUCCUCCUCUCUUUCCCUAAAAGAUUCCCUGUGAAUUUUCCAACAAAUCCCUGUUUCCCAGUCCUCAGUUUGCAGGAAUACAGGCUUUCCAGGCUCUCGACAAAGCUUCUUUGGCUUGAGGGAGAAUAAUGUCGCCGAGCUGCCUCCUUCACUAAAGCCAGGUUGUCACACAGGGCCCGUCGUGUUCCUCGUGCGCUGCUUGGAUAUGAUCUUGGGGAUUAGAAAGGGAGCACUUUCAGGUCAAGCUCUGGCAUACGGCUUGAGGGGAGGAAUUGUGGGAGGCUGCAAUAGAAGAAGAGGAAACUCGGGGAAGGAGGAAGGGCAGAGAUGAAAAUCCCAAAGGCAGCUGAUGAUCUGAGGAUUUCCCUGAGAGAAUGUCAUUUGCUCGAGGGAAGAGACUUUUGGAGAGAUGAAAGGAGAACUUACCAUGGGGAAGAGAAGUGUGGCAGGAGGAUGGAAAGAAGGAGAACCUGCAGACAGAUCAACUAGGAUUAUGAAAAAAGCCAAAGCCUUUAACAGGUAGGUAGGUAGGUCCUUGAUGACCUUAGAAUAAUUUCAGGGGAUUGUGGGUAGAAGUCACACUUCAAAAGAUGGA
rnacentral:lncRNA from 1 species